rnacentral:rRNA from 1 species
GACGAACGCUGGCGGCGUGCUUAACACAUGCAAGUCGAACGGAAAGGCCUCUUUCGGGGGGUACUCGAGUGGCGAACGGGUGAGUAACACGUGUAUAACCUCCCCUUGUCUUUGGGAUAACUUCAGGAAACUGGGGCUAAUACCGGAUAGGAGCUCCUGCUGCGUGGGGGGGUUUGGAACGUUGCGGGGGUUGGGGAUGGACUCGCGGCUUAUCAGCUUGUUGGGGGGGUAGUGGCUUCCCAAGGCUUUGACGGGGCGCCGGGCGGGGGGGGUGACCGGCCAACUUGGGGAUUGGGAACGGGCCCGGAUCCUACGGGGGGGAAGCAGGGGGGAAAUUGGAAAAUGGGGGGGAGGCUGGUGCAGCAACGGCCGGGGCGGGAUGGCGGGCUUCGGGUUGGAAACCGCUUUCCGCAGGGACGGAAGUUUUUGUGACGGUAAGUGGGGAAGAAGGACCGGCUAACUACGUG